CCUGAGAGAACACAGGCAUGAAGUCAGAUGGGGUUUAUGAUAACCUGGGAGCAUCACAAUUUAGGUCUUCCACGUUGGCAAAGUAUAAGCUAUAAGCGGUUAACCACUGAGGGAGCUUAGAUGAGGAUUUUAUGCAUUUACAACUUGUAGAAUACAUUUGGGCUUAUUGCUUAUAUCUUAUAAUUGCCCCUGUCUACUUAUGCUUUUCCUGAAAUGUUCUCCCUUCUCUCCCUAUUCAAACCCCACCCAUCUGCUAAGAGUCAUUCCAGUCCCAACUUCCUAAGUAAGCUUUCUGCACUAGAAGACAGGUUUUCCUAGAAUCCUAGAGCUUUUUAAAAUGGGCUUGCGAUCACAGGGACAAACACCCUCAUUUUGCCGAUAAGGAAACUCAGGCCCAAAGAGUUACUUGCACAGAGCAAGUGGGAGAACCUCGUACUGAACUGCCGGUGGAUUUGGGACUGCCACCCAGCUGCGUGACUCCUGGCCAUCUCUAGCUGUUGUCACUUCUUCCUAAAUUUCCAUGCCUAGUGUGCAUUGUAGCCUUUCAUCUGGCCAGACGCGGGAUGAGAGAUGGGAACAGGACGGAGCGGGGCCACUGAGACUCCUCCCUGAGAGUUUUGCUAGAAAUGUUAGGGAACAGGUUCUUUUUCGUUGUUGCUCCUAAGCCUGUAGGUGAUAAACAUGGAGCUGACAGAGGUCAUCUUUCUCACUAUCAGCAGGAGUUUCUAGAAAACAAAGCCAAUACAAAGGAACAAAGCAUAUGAGAGAGUGAGAGACUCUGAAUGCCACUGCCGGAGCAGCCCUGAAGCUGGUCGAUCCUGGACUCUUCAGCUUUCAAUCAACAAACGUGAUCAGUCCAGUGAGUUCCCUGACCUGUGAUGGUGUAGCUUCUGACAUCUGGCUUAAUGGUUCUCUGAAUUGGAGUCUGGCCGUUUGCUGGGAUGGCAUCAACUUGGAAGCCAGUGAUUGUCUCAGUCUUGGUUCUCCAG